rnacentral:lncRNA from 1 species
AUGGCCAAGUCCAAGAAUCACACCACACACAAUCAGUCUCGAAAAUGGCCCAGAAAUGGCAUCAAGAAACCCUGACCACAAAGAUACGAAUCUCUUAAGGAGGUGGACCCCAAGUUCCUGAGAAUCAUGUGCUUUGCCAAGAAGCACACCAAGAAGGGCCUAAAGAAGAUGCAGGCCAACAAUGCCAAGGCCAUGAGUGCACUUGCCAAGGCUAUCAAGGCCCUUGUAAAGCCCAAGGAGGUUAAGCCCAAGAUCCCAAAGAGUGUCAGCUGCAAGUUCGAUUGACUUGCCUAUAUUGCCCACCCCAAGCUUGGGAAGCAUGCUUAUGCCCACAUUGCCAAGGGGCUCAGUCUGUGCCAGCCAAAGGCCAAGGAUCAAACCAAGGCCCAGGCUGCAGCUCCAGCUACAGUUCCAGCUCAGGCUCCCAAAGGUGCCCAGUCCCCUAUAAAAGCUUCAGAGUAG